CUACUGCAGCAAGAGAAGCAACCAUUUUCUUCAUUUCUAAAAGAUAUUCAUUGAUAAUUUUAUCUUUUUUUAUCAUCUGAAGUUUCAAUUUCAAUUUCUUUACAACAACUCGAGUAUGUGUUAUGUAUCUUCCAAAUGUGACGAGAAAACUUCAAUCCCACCAUCUUCAUCAAGAUCAAUAAGGACAUCAACAAGCAAUUGAUAUUUUUGAACAUAAUUGGUGUAUUUACGAUUCUCAAUAUUUGUGAUUUCAUUUUCUUUAUCAGCAGCAUAUAAUGGUGGAAUGUCAUCGCCAUGAACAAACUUCUCAAGCUUUAACCCUCUUAUCAUUGCAAGAGCCUGUUGUCAAAUUGAGAAAGUAUCAUCAUCUAAUUUCAUAACAAUCGAUGUAUGGAACAUUUGUGGUGCAAACUGAGAUGCAGAAGCGGAAGCAAUGACACUUGAUACCAUGUUAGGUUUAGGCAUAGGUGAAAUAUGAAAAAAAAAAAGAAAAAAAAAAAGAGAACAACAAAUGUUUUAUUAAUAUGUAAUAUCUAAAUUUGGUAGCAAAAAUUUUGGUUGUUAAUUAGAUACCAAUUUAAAAAAUAUUUAACAAUAAUAGAAACUAAUUUAGAAACCAAAAAUUUAUUUAGUUAUCUAAUUUAGUUAUUAUAGUAACUAAUUAUUUUAUUUUUUUUAUAAAAUUGAUUUUUAUUUUAUGAUUUUUUUUUUCAUAAUUUCUAUUUUUUUUAAUGCUCAAUAAGUUAUGAGUCUCGUAAAAAAACAUGUUACAUUGUUAUACCGAAAAUAUUUUUUAUAUUGUUGUAUUACUGUAAGCAUAUUUAAUAUCAAAAGUAUCAAUUACUAACAUGGUUAAUUUGUUUAUUCCUUAUAAAACCAAUAUUUUCUAAGGAACAACACUAAAGUAUUGUAGUAACUAUUUUCACACCCACAUGGUCUCUUACUUCCAUUUAACAACUCUAUAUAUUAAUAAAAUAUUUAAUUAAAUUAUUUGAUUAAAAUAUAAAUUAAAUUAUUAAAUAAAAUAUUAAUAAAAAUGGUUGUAACAUGGUAGUAUAAAUUGUAAUGAAUGUCAAACUAUAAGAGGUUCUCAUAUGUUACAACUAUAAUGUUAUUCCAUAGAUUUGACAACACUUAAUCUCAAUGUAAAAAGUAUUCUAGAUAUAUAAGUAAAAGGAAAAUAUUUCUUUCAACAGAAAAAAAAAAGUAAAAUACAUACAAACUAUUAUAAUAAUAUAAUAAUAUUUUAAUUAAAAAAUAAAUCAAAUGAUUAAAAUAUCAGUUUAUUAGAAUGUGAAGUGAGUGUUUGUACGGUUUGUACCACUAUGUAAUAUGAGUUAUCAGAUAAAAAUUAUUAAAGAUAAAUACAACAUUCAUAAGAUUAUAGAUGAAACAAUAAAAAAUUGUGUUAGGAGAAGACCAAUACUAUAGAGACCCAAACUCAAUCACCUAUUUAAGUUACAGGUUUUUCUGAGUAGAGAGAAGAGAAGAAUUUGGUAAACCCUACUUUUAGUAGUCUUAGUAUUCCUUAGACUUAGUCUUAGUAGGUAGUUGUUGUUCUAUCAUUGGUGUUUUCAUUACUCUUACCAUGUCUCCCAAAACCCAAAUAAAAGACCUAAAUAAAAUACUAAACUUCAUCUAAAAGUGUUUAUAUGCUAUUGAAGAAACCCUACACCCCUCGUCUAAAACCCACACCAACGGCUCAAACACCUGCACCAUGCCACCAACGUUUCACCGCUCCAUCCAGCCCUUAGAACAACCUCCUGCACAUCAGGUCGCAUGCCACAACACCGCCCGUUGCACCUUAAGUUGGUCAACCACCAGCGUCCCAACCGCCUUGCCGCCUAGUGCCUUAAAACAGCCUCCACGCACACCAGGCUCCAUCCCGCAACACCACUAUUGGCAUCUAGAUCAUUCAACUACUAGCACCCCAACUGUCAUCGCUGCCCAAUGUCGCCUACAACUACACCGCCCGCAUUCCCCCCAAUUUUUGUGUCCCCCUCCUUCAUACCCUUUAAAGAGUGUUUCUCCCACUAACUUCAUCUGAAAAAAGACUUUUCGAUACUUAAGAGAGAGCACAAUAAUGGUAAUAUGUGUGCAAAGUAUGUCGGACAAGAGUAUAAAAUAAGAUAAAUUACACUUUCCUAGAUAGUUUGUAUUUUUAGAUUUUGUCAGUAAUGACUAUUGUGUUGGUCGUAUGAUGACCAUUUAUGGUUCAUGAAUAGUCGCUUAGCAAUAAAUAUUCUUUGAGUAUGCCGUUUUGUUUAAAAUUAUUAUUGAUAACAAUGAGAUCUCAGUAACCAAACACAUAUAGUUGUUUUGAACUAUAAAUAUUCCUACCUUUAUAGAUUUUUUUUUUCUUUUUUAUUUGAAUUUUAUUAUUGACCUGCAACAAAUGAUAAGUGUUUAGAGAGUGUCAAUGAUACUUAGUGUAUCAUAACAUUUCCUUAAAUAAUUCUAUAAUUCAUGUAAACGUUGAGUGUUAAAACAAAGUUUUAUAGUUUUUACUCCAUAAACAUUAUACAUCAUUUGAAGAUAUAUCUUCUAAGCUAAUCAUGUAGACAUUAUUAUACGACCAAGAAUGUGGCCAUUGAGAAUUCAAGCUGUUCAAGCUUACGUCCCAAAUCAAAGAAUCCUCAUACUUUAUACAUUUCGGUAACAUAUUUCAUGGUCAAAGGUUUUGGCGGCACUUUUUAAAAUAUAUACGUUACUUAUAAGGUAUUAUUAAGGUAUUAUUACUGAGUAUGGAUGGAUAGCCAACAUAUCAAUCAUUUGGUAUAUGAAGACAAAUCACAAGUAACUAAUCACUCCCUAAACAAGAUUAGAAAGAUGAUUAGGUCUUCAUGGACCUAGGACAACCCUCAGACCCAUAAAAAACUAUAAAUAGAAGACGACCCCAAUGAAAAAGAUAAUGAUUCUAUAAUUAUAAUAUUUGUAAAUUAGAUAGACCUAUAACUGACUUGAGCAUCAGAAUGUCUUUACAAGUAUCCACUCCAAGACAUUGAAAGACAAAGAUUCAAAGGACCACAUAACUAAAGAGAUUAGAGACUUGAUAGAAGAAAUCUGACAUGGUUCAACCAUGUAAGAACAAUAGUUACUUUCUAAACUUACUAAAAUCUUAAUUGUAAAUUUACUCGAAUCUUAUUCAAUAUUAACUAUCUUGAAUAAUUUAUACUUAUAUAUAAAAAAGGAUUCUUCAUCAUAACCAAUUACUGAUAUACACAAAUUUUUUCCAAUUUUACCCUUAUUAAUAUAUAUCAUUUUAUUAUUUAAUCUUUUAAAUUUUAAAAUUACAAAAAUGAGUGUUUUGUCAUUUUAUAUGAAUCACUUAAAAAUAAAAAUUUUUAUUUUUUAUUUUUUAUUUUUUAAAUUAAUGUUAAGAGACAAUUUUUAUAUGCAAACUAACUCACUCUUUCCUUAACUCCUUAUUUUCAGGAUCUAAGGCACAAACCUUUAUGAAAGAAUUUUUUUUAGGAAUAAGAAGGCAACGAGAGAGAAAGAGCACAAUAUUUAACCUCCAUUCUGAGUUUUCCUCUCCGCUGCUUCACUCCACUUCAAGCAACUUCAUUCCUCUGUAAAUUCAUCAUUCUUUUGCAUUUACCAUCAAGUGAACCCAAACUUUAGCCGGAACCUCAUCAUACUCAUUGAUCCCCAAAUCAGCAACAAAAGAAGAAGAGAAAAAGUAUAAAGAGGAGAGAAGCUCAAACUAGAGGAAAAGAAAGAUGUUGAUUUAUCAAUUCAUCAUUUUCU
rnacentral:lncRNA from 1 species